rnacentral:rRNA from 1 species
GUUUGGUUAAGUUAGAAAGGGCGCACGGUGGAUGCCUUGACACUAGGAGUCGAUGAAGGACGGGACUAACGCCGAUAUGCUUCGGGGAGCUGUAAGUAAGCUUUGAUCCGAAGAUUUCCGAAUGGGGAAACCCACCAUACGUAAUGGUAUGGUAUCCUUAUCUGAAUACAUAGGGUAAGGAAGACAGACCCAGGGAACUGAAACAUCUAAGUACCUGGAGGAAGAGAAAGCAAAUGCGAUUUCCUGAGUAGCGGCGAGCGAAACGGAACAUAGCCCAAACCAAGAGGCUUGCCUCUUGGGGUUGUAGGACAUUCUAUACGGAGUUACAAAGGAACGAGGUAGACGAAGCGACCUGGAAAGGUCCGUCGUAGAGGGUAACAACCCCGUAGUCGAAACUUCGUUCUCUCUUGAAUGUAUCCUGAGUACGGCGGAACACGUGAAAUUCCGUCGGAAUCUGGGAGGACCAUCUCCCAAGGCUAAAUACUCCCUAGUGAUCGAUAGUGAACCAGUACCGUGAGGGAAAGGUGAAAAGCACCCCGGAAGGGGAGUGAAAGAGAUCCUGAAACCGUGUGCCUACAAAUAGUCAGAGCCCGUUAACGGGUGAUGGCGUGCCUUUUGUAGAAUGAACCGGCGAGUUACGAUCCCGUGCGAGGUUAAGCUGAAGAGGCGGAGCCGCAGCGAAAGCGAGUCUGAAUAGGGCGUUUAGUACGUGGUCGUAGACCCGAAACCAGGUGAUCUACCCAUGUCCAGGGUGAAGUUCAGGUAACACUGAAUGGAGGCCCGAACCCACGCACGUUGAAAAGUGCGGGGAUGAGGUGUGGGUAGCGGAGAAAUUCCAAUCGAACCUGGAGAUAGCUGGUUCUCCCCGAAAUAGCUUUAGGGCUAGCCUUAAGUGUAAGAGUCUUGGAGGUAGAGCACUGAUUGGACUAGGGGUCCUCAUCGGAUUACCGAAUUCAGUCAAACUCCGAAUGCCAAUGACUUAUCCUUAGGAGUCAGACUGCGAGUGAUAAGAUCCGUAG